AUUGAACGCUGGCGGCAUGCCUUACACAUGCAAGUCGAACGGCAGCACGGGGGCAACCCUGGUGGCGAGUGGCGAACGGGUGAGUAAUAUAUCGGAACGUGCCCUGGAGUGGGGGAUAACGUAGCGAAAGUUACGCUAAUACCGCAUACGAUCUACGGAUGAAAGUGGGGGAUCGCAAGACCUCAUGCUCGUGGAGCGGCCGAUAUCUGAUUAGCUAGUUGGAGGGUAAAAGCCUACCAAGGCAUCGAUCAGUAGCUGGUUUGAGAGAACGACCAGCCACACUGGGACUGAGACACGGCCCAGACUCCUACGGGAGGCAGCAGUGGGGAAUUUUGGACAAUGGGCGCAAGCCUGAUCCAGCAAUGCCGCGUGUGUGAAGAAGGCC
rnacentral:rRNA from 1 species